rnacentral:misc_RNA from 1 species
UUCUGCGCACUUGGCGCCAAUAUUAUAAACAGGCAGACAACUUUUACAAGCCGCCACAGAACUUGGCCUGAAACAUUUAGUGGCCUAGGUUACCAAGACCUUAUGAGACUGCAAGAAUUGUCGAAGUUUGACGUUAUGGGUUAAUUGUUAAUUUUUGUGAGAAAAUUUUAAACCACAACUUCCGAGAAAUAUGGAGCGGAGAAUUUUAGUUUUUAAAACUACUGAAAGAAAGAACUUUCCCAUUAAUUUCUUGAAAAAUAUCGACGAGAAGUAUGCGAAAGUUAUUCAAAACUGCUAUUUAGCUGGACUAGGAAACUCUGAACUAAGCCCUGUGGAUAUUUACUCCGUUUGUUUACCAGAUUUAUGGACAAAGGUAGAAAAAUCCCAAGAUAUAAAGGAUAAGAUAACUAAAGACUCAGCUUACAGAGAGAAGGAUCUUGCCGUAUUGACAGAUGAGCUUCAUGACCUGUUUGAUGGUAUCUCCUCUCCAGGUCGAUAUCUUCUUAAUAUUCUCUGGAUUUGUGAUUCUCUUCCUGUUCAACCUAACCCUGGGCUCUACGGAGCUCUACAGAGGGCAGUUAGUUGGCACAACGGACAGAUCUCUGUUCUCACUCUGAAAGAGAGCGAAGAUCUCCCCUCCUGGGUAUCCAGCGGACUUCAAGCUGAGAUAAUAACUGGACCUAGAGAUGAUAUUAAUCUGGAGCUCUAUAUUUCUCCGUCAUUAGUUUGGCGUGGAAACUUAACUGUUUUUAAUGAUGAGGAUCUAACUAGUUACAAAAUUCAGGGUUACGAGCUGCAUGACGGACUGGAUGAAUUAGAUUUAAUUAUUCAGAAGAUAAAUCUUUCUAACCCUGAAAUAAACCCAACCCAGCAGCAGGAUAAAGAGCUGGUAUUCUACGACGUAAACCUUGAACUAGUCACUGAGGUGGAUGCAUCUUCUGUUCCCCCUUCUUUUCUAACCAAUCAGAGGUUUAAACUCAAAACCAUUGACACAGGUGAAGACGAUGUUACUGGAUAUUUGAUGAAACAAGGAUUCCCUGAUUCUUUUGGGUUUAUAGCUCGUCUUAGAGUUUCUGAAAAACUAAACAGAAAAUAUAAGCAAAGGAAUUCUGCGUCCUGGAAGCGGGAAGUGGUCGAAGGAACUUAUGAGAACGUUCAUGAAAUGUAUUUAGCGGAUGCACAACAUUCAAUUUCAUUCCUUGUCUACGACGACGGCACUCAAACAAAAAAAUGUUCCAAACAAAUUUUUGUGAAAUCCGCAAUUCUCCUGAGGAACCCUGAGGACGUGUGCACUGUUCCUCGGCCGUUCCUAAGCAGAGAUUUUGUGUUUAAUGUCAAUGUUGUAACAGCUGUUCCAAAUCUAGAUAUAAUUGAAACCAAUAUUCAACUUGUUCAUCAAUAUUAUCGAGAUCUGACGGCGGAAGUACUGAAAAUUCUUUUAGAGGGAAGAGAGGCGGGGAGCACACAAGAUUUACUUCAAGUAGUGGCCGAGAAUGUUCCACGACUUUACUCAUGGAUAGAAAAGAAUAGUAAGUUGGAAACCAACUCAGUAGUGUUAGAUGAAGAGUUGAAAAAACCAAAGAAAAUUCAAAGCAUGUAUAAAGAUGAAAGCUCUGAGAAGAGAGUUGCUAGGAUAGAUUCUAGAAAACAAGAAAUUAUCAGCUCCGAGAAAGAAUCAGCUCUUCUAUCAAGGCGUGUUGACACUAUCUCCCUGGAAGCUAAAGAGAUAGUUAAAUUCUUCCAAAAAACCGGGGAACCAGCCAAAGCUCUUAAUCUAGAUAAUCUUACUCAGGGAGUUAAGAAUACAGUUCGACUAUCUGAUCACCAAUAUCAGAAAAUAUUUCAGGAUAAUUUUGAUCAUAUUCGGAGUGGAGAUUUACAAUAUUCUGGAUUCAAGUUCAAGGGAGAUGAUUUUAACCUGAUGGAGUUCACCCAGUACCAUGACGUUUACUACAACAAUGGACCUAAAGCUGAUCAGAAGGAGAAAGAUUUCCGACGGUAUCGAGAUAUGUGUGUUGGAAUAUCUAAGGAAACUAGCACUACGCUGGAUAUGGAUAAGGCUCCUGAGAAGUUGAAAAUAAAGAAAACGAAAACUUGUGAAUCUUCUUCCCAGCGUAGUCCGCGUAAGAAAGUUGGUAAGGCGUGGACAAGUCCCAGAAAAUCCGCCAAAAUCUUGACGACAAGAUCCGGGAAGCCUAGUCCCGUCAAGGGAGCAGGCCAACAAAUCCUGGAAGCACAAAGAAGAUCCAGACCAAACCAGAAAAGUGGUGUGGAUGAGAGGCGGAAGAAAAAUUUACGUGUAGCAGUGCUUAGUGCUCUUAUGGAACAAGGAAUUAGGGAGGAUAACCAGAUUUUUAGGCGAUGUUUUACAACUCUUAUAAAGAUCUGUCAGCUACUGGGUGGAGCCGCAAGUGGGGACACAACCAGUAAAAUGAUGCUCGAUGUUGCAAGAUCAAAUGUUGAAAACGUGAUCAAGGCGGAAGUACAAAAGUUAAGAAAUGCUUGAAGUAUUUUGAAGUUUUGACAAACUUUGAAAACCUAGACCUGUGAUUUCUAUUUCGUACAAAUAAAAAUAUGUGACUGAAGCAGGAUAUAGUUGUUCAGUUCAACACUACUUGCUCUAAAGGCUGUCCUCCUCCAUAUACUUCAAUUACUCAUUGGUGAGCGGAUUGGAGGACAGAGGAUCACUGGAAAUUACGUUGACAGUCCCUUAAACCUUGAGAAGUUUGCCACAAUAGACCUGUUUAUCUGCCUCUCAAAUUAACAAAUAUUUCA